UUUAUUGCGUUUUUUCGCUUUGAAUUCGAUUCUCUUAUUGUCCUUACUACUACUAAUGUCUGCAAGUUUCAGUAAUUUUACACUUGUUAAUUGAUUCUUUGAAAAGGGGGUGAGAAGUCACGGGAAUGUAACUCUCAAACGUCUCUACCUCUGUCGUAUUAUAUGAGUUCCGGCGAGUUUAUUUCAUCUUACAGUUAUUUUUUAACCUCAUACAUCAUUUUGCAACCAGUUGUCCCUAAGUAGUUUUAUACUCUGUCUAUCACUUUGUUGAUCAAUCAAGUGGAAUUUUUUUAACAGACUACGAACAACCAAGAGUAUUUUGUUUCUUGGUCUAGCACCGGGAAAGGAACGCAAUCCACAGAAAUUCCACGAAUCCCUUGGUGGAUAAGUCCGACGACUCAGUAGCAGUGCGGAAUUGAGUUUCUUGUCUGGUGGAUCUGAUCUAUAGUUAGGGGGCAAUACAUAACAAAAGGUUCGAAGAAGGGAUCAUUCAAUACAACAGUAUGAACACGAUACCAAGGCAAACCCAUGGAAAUACCUAAAAUCUUCGAGUUGAUAUGGAGAACUCCGAUAUGUCAUUUUCAGUGAGCUUGGACAAAGGCCAUGGUCGCGAAUGAGUAUGCCAAUGGAGCAUGGAAGGAUGGCUUUACAACAUUUAGGCUUGGUUGACGAGAAGUAUUAUGUGUGAAUAUGAUUGGAUUGUUGGGCUCACAAUUUUGCGAAUGAAGAUAAUGAUCACAGGAACAAUUCACCAAGCAAAUCAUCAUCUUCUCUUAUGGAAAGAUCUUCAGCUACUUCUUGAAAUAAUAUUUCAGCGAAGGCUGCAUAAGAAGCUCAAGGAAAAGCUCAACAGAAGUUCAAUGAAAUUAUCACUAUGAUCCUUAUAAGAGAGAUAUAUCGUGGAUGUUUUGGGAAAACAUAAAUCUGUGAAGUUGCCAAAAUUUAAAAUUUCAGUUUUGGAUGAUUGUUGUAACGAUUUCACAUAUUAGUUACAUAAAAACAUAAAUAUAAGGUGAAAGUUGUAUACUCCUAGUACCUUCUUGGUGCAGUUUUUUUGUUAAUAAAGUUACCUUAUACAAA